ACGUCGACUGCCGAGCCCCGCCCGAACAAGGACAGUGACAAAUAACAUUUGAUUUGAAAUAAGUAUCUCUCUUCCAGAAUACCUUUCUCUAUAUUUCUGUCUGUCUUACCAGUAUUUCUACUGCUCACAUUAUUCAAUGGAAUGAUUAUUAUUAGCAUUUUAUGCCCCCCAUAUCAUAAUGCAUUGGCAUUUUGAAGAAGCAGAUCUCCAGACAUGUACUGUAGAUGUUUGCGUCAGUGUGCGGCUACUAGUUCAAAUAACCUUUAUCACUAGCAGGCGAGACCGGCUGGGAACUGUCAUGUUAUGUAAAUGUCCCAUCGCGGGUUCCGUACUAAUAGCAGGACGUGUAUUUUUUUAUUUAUGGUAUUUAUAGUGGAGAGUUGACGGCAAACUAGGAAAUGUGAACACUUUGUUGUGACUCUUUUGACAAUUUCUAACAUUAGAAAUGGCAGAGUUACGUUUGGAUUUAGACAGUCAUCUACAAUAUGGGCUAUUUGACAGCGAUUUAGCCGAUAUUUGCAUUGAUCAUGAUGGCGAAUGGGACAUCAACCUGUUUAAAGAACUUGAAAACCUAAGUGAUGCAGAAGAACUGCUUCAAGAAUUUGAGUUCACACCACCUGAUGAAACAACACUGCAACAAGAGGUGAAUGACAUUAAUCUGUUACAAUGGAGAUCCUUCGCCAGUGGAGAUACUGACGGUUGCUGCACAGAUGUAGGAGUGCCUGGGUCCUCCCUAUCAUCUGGAUCUGCGUUAGUGAUACCUCCUCACUGUCACCACUAUCCCUGAAACAGGAAGAUGAUGUGUCUAUGCAGCCUUUACCGACUAUGUUGUCUCCUGAAAAGAAAAUACACAAGCGAGUCAGCC